UACGGAGGAUCCAAGCGUUAUCCGGAUUUAUUGGGUUUAAAGGGUGCGCAGGCGGCACGGCAAGCCGGCGGUCAAAUCGCGGGGCUCAACCCCGCCCAGCCGUCGGAACUGCCGGGCUAGAGUGGGCGAGAAGUGCGCGGAAUGCGUGGUGUAGUGGUGAAAUGCAUAGAUAUCACGCAGAACUCCGAUUGCGAAGGCAGCGCACCGGCGCCCUACUGACGCUCAGGCACGAAAGCGUGGGUAUCGAACAGG
rnacentral:rRNA from 1 species